CUGCGAAUGGCUCAUUAUAUAAGUUAUCGUUUAUUUGAUAAUACUUUACUACUUGGAUAACCGUGGUAAUUCUAGAGCUAAUACAUGCUGAAAAUCCCGACUUCGGAAGGGAUGUAUUUAUUAGAUUAAAAACCAAUGCCCCUCGGGGCUCUCUGGUGAAUCAUGAUAACUAGUCGAAUCGACAGGCCUUGUGCCGGCGAUGGCUCAUUCAAAUUUCUUCCCUAUCAACUUUCGAUGUUUGGGUAUUGGCCAAACAUGGUGGCAACGGGUAACGGAGGGUUAGGGCUCGACCCCGGAGAAGGAGCCUGAGAAACGGCUACUACAUCCAAGGAAGGCAGCAGGCGCGCAAAUUACCCAAUCCCGACACGGGGAGGUAGUGACAAUAAAUACUGAUACAGGGCUCUUUUGGGUCUUGUAAUCGGAAUGAGUACAAUUUAAAUCCCUUAACGAGGAACAAUUGGAGGGCAAGUCUGGUGCCAGCAGCCGCGGUAAUUCCAGCUCCAAUAGCGUAUAUUAAAGUUGUUGUGGUUAAAAAGCUCGUAGUUGAACCUUGGGCCUGGCUGGCCGGUCCGCCUCACCGCGUGCACUGGUCCGGCCGGGCCUUUCCCUCUGCGGAACCCCAUGCCCUUCACUGGGUGUGGCGGGGAAACAGGACUUUUACUUUGAAAAAAUUAGAGUGCUCAAGGCAGGCCUAUGCUCGAAUACAUUAGCAUGGAAUAAUAGAAUAGGACGUGUGGUUCUAUUUUGUUGGUUUCUAGGACCGCCGUAAUGAUUAAUAGGGACAGUCGGGGGCAUCAGUAUUCAAUUGUCAGAGGUGAAAUUCUUGGAUUUAUUGAAGACUAACUACUGCGAAAGCAUUUGCCAAGGAUGUUUUCAUUAAUCAGGAACGAAAGUUAGGGGAUCGAAGACGAUCAGAUACCGUCGUAGUCUUAACCAUAAACUAUGCCGACUAGGGAUCGGACGAUGUUACAUUUUUGACGCGUUCGGCACCUUACGAGAAAUCAAA
rnacentral:rRNA from 1 species